rnacentral:lncRNA from 1 species
UUUUUUCAGCUUGUUGCGGGACUUUUGGGUGUGGAAUCCGGUCAAGAUGCUAUAAUCAGAGGGUUAUUAUACGAGAGGCUAAAUACGACAGUAAGACCUUAUGAGAUAACAAUUGCAGAGUUCACUGAUCGCAUAUCUAAUCUAAGGAACAAGCUUGGUGGAGCAGGGUUGAAAGAUGAAGGCCUUGUGGUUCCUAAAGAACUGGGUGCCGAAGGCAAGAUCGAGGGAAAUACACUUGCAGGAGACAAAUACUCGGUUUCCUAUGAAAGGACACCUGAAGAAAUUCUUAAAAUUGUCUAUGGAACUGGAAAUGAAUCAAUUCCUGGUGGUUUUUAUCCAAAGGGAGCUAACGGUGCCAUUGCGAAAUCUUAUUUAUCUACCGCAAACUACUAAAAGUGGGAAACCUGACAGUUUUAAGUUACCACUGUCAAUUUAAGCAACUAUCUUGUGUGAUUAAUGUUGUUCUUUUGAGUCGAUAAUUAUGUCAUUUCAUAUCUUCUACGUAUCUUGUCUUUUUGACUAUUUAAUCCUACUCGUUUAUAAAUGUACAAGUUGUCAUAUAAAUAAUUCGAGAUAACCAAUAAAGUUAAGAAUCUGCAUUAAACAUAUAAAAAUUUCAUAUUCACAAUUCAACCAUUUGCGACACAAAAAUAAAAAGGGCAACCGUAAAGUUUGAUGCGCUUAAAACCAUAAUGCACUUGCAAUCAGGUACUUUUAAUUGUUGACUCAGUCAAUCAACAAGGGCUACAAAUCUGUACACAGCUAAAAGUUGAUGACUAACAAAAGGCUUUUGGCCACGUUUGCAUUCAUAUAUGAAGUAAAGAUCUUGGCAGAUUGCACAUCAAAUUGAUUUUAUGUAGUCUCAAUAAAAAAUUUUAUAUAUACCAUGAGUUUUUAUGCAUAAUUUUAUUGAACAUUUCUGUAAGAAUUUAAAGUUACAAUUUUUUUUCAAUACUAUAAUGUAGAUCUAGUAAAAAAAAAAAGUGCGGCAUUUUUCAUGUUUCUUAGACAAAUUUCAAUUUAUGAUUUUUAAUACGAUUGAAUUGAAGAAUUCUCAAAUAUAAUGUUAAGAGUCCUUUGCUAUUCGAAAUUCUUCCAUUGCUAACCAUAGCCUUUUGUAUUCUUUUAAGUUUUUCUUCUUAUUAAGUCGGUAGAUUCUUUCUCUUCUUUUUCUCUUUUUUUUACCCAAAAAACAUCAACCCUAUUUUAAUUAGAGCUAGAUUUCAUAGGUUUUUUUUUUUUAAAUUAAUUUCCCUAACCGCAUUAAGUAUGCACCACUAAGUUUCAUAUUUAUUCCCUAAUUUACGCAAAUUCAAAAGACAAAUUAUUCCAAUAUACUUGCAAAUUCAAUACCCUAAUUUUUUGAGGUGAAAAAUAUUUUGAGCUAUUAACUGCAAUUUUUUAGUUUAUUUUUCUUAAAAUAUAUAAUCAACUUAGUCGGAUUCAAACAAAAAAAAAAUUCAUUGAAACAGACUCAAUUUCGAUGUUAUGAUUAUCUAAAGUUUUAAAUACCAAAAAUUAUAUGGUUUUGUAGGUCAUGUUAAAAGCGUAUUUUUACUUUGCAUUUGGCAUGCCAAAAGUAUUUUGAGUUGUACUCCUUUGGUUGCACAAAUGCUUUUAAAGCACAAAAAUCAAAGCCGAAAGUUCAACCAAAUGGGGUCUAAUAUAUAUUUAUAUAUGUUAAUUAGGUAAAUACUAUUUGUAGCAUAUAUUAUUAAUUAAUUUAUUUUGUUAAAUAGGUCAUGAAAAGAUUGUAUUUUUCAUUGAUAAGUAAGAUAAAAGAGUUUUUCCUUUUAGAGACACAAUACAACCUAAAAAGGAAAAUAAAUUUACAGUUAUAAAUAUACAAAAAUAAACCUUGAUUUCUAGGAAGAAAAUCAUAUCCCCGUAAUUAUAAAAUAUACGGUCAUGGAUUCUCAACACUCUCCUUCAAGCUGCCUGAAAGUCGUCAUUAAUAGCCAGCUUGUUCACCAAUUUUAUCAAAUUGCUUCUUCAGUAAGCCUUUAGAGAGUACUGCUACUUGUUCAAACAUAGAAAUAUAGGACAUAACAACGAACCCAAUUUCCAAUUUCUCCUUAAUAAAGUAUGUGUUAACUUCAAGAUACUUAGUUCUAUCAUGGAGUAUUAGAUCAUGUGCUAUUGCAAUGGUGACUUUAUUAUCACAAAAAACUUCCAUGGAUAAGGGACUAGUAGCUUUUAAGUUCUUCAAGAAACUAUUUAAUCCAUAAAGCUUCACAUAUACAAUGUGCCACCAUCGUAAACUCUGCUUCAACACUAUUUCUAGCCACCAUAUUCAGUUUUUUCUAAGCCAAGUUGUAAGAUUUCCUCUAACAAAAGUACAAUACCCGAAGUUGAUCUUCUGUUUUACUUCCUUUGAAUCAUGGGCAAAGGCUCCCUUCGCUAGGGUCAUACCUACACAUGAAUGGAUGAAUUAUUGUCAUAUCUUAAAUUUGUAAUCAAAUCAAAAUGAUCAUCAUUUCUUUAAUUUACUUGCCAAAACAAUAUAUUUCAAGCCAAAAGAAAAAGAACACCCUAAUAAUUAAUUUUGACUCCAGAAGGAACCUUACGUGUAAAAAAUAUUCAAUUUCCAUUAUUUUUUUAAUUAUUUUUAUUAUUUACCUUGUAAGUAAUAUACUUGUCUCAUUUACAUAACAAUUAAGUAUUCAAGUCCAAAUCCUCAUGUUCCAUUUCUAAUAGAUAUUGUAAAUAGAGAUAUGUAUAUGUAAGCCUAUAAAUACAUGUGACAAAACACUUCAUACAUCACCAACCACUAAGAAAAAACAAUGGCAGUCACCUUCUUUGCUACAUUGAUCUGUGUUCUUGUUCUGCAAUCCUUCUUCUUAAAGAUCAACUCGAGCCCAUAUGGUUCCGAUGUGCCAAAAGGUGAUAAGGAUUUGUUAGAGUUUCCAUUGAAUCUGGAGUACUUAGAGGCUGAGUUUUUCUUGUAUGGCUCAUUAGGGUAUGGGUUGGACAAGGUUGCUCCCCAGUUGACUUUGGGAGGCCCUGCUCCUAUUGGUGCCAAAAAGGCCAAUCUUGAUCCCAUUACAAGAGAUAUUAUAGAGCAAUUUGCAUGGCAAGAAGUUGGACACUUAAGGUAUCGUAUCUGCAUUUUUCACUCUUGAAUUUUGUUUAAUUAUUUGUGUUGAAUUCAUUUGGUUUGUCUUAUCUCAUUCCUUGACUUCUUCCAUUAUUUAAUAUAAAGGGCAAUUAAAUCGACUGUCAAAGGAUUUCCAAGGCCACAAUUGGAUUUGAGUGCAGGGUCAUUUGCCAAGGUGAUUAAUAGUGCAUUUGGGAAGAACUUACAGCCUCCUUUUGACCCCUAUGCCAAUAGCAUCAACUACCUUAUUGCAUCCUAUGCAAUUCCUUAUGUGGGACUUACUGGAUAUGUGGGAGCAAGUCCCAGACUCCAAGGUGCUACUUCAAAAAGGGUAAGCUCCUAAUAUAUAACGAGGAAAGAAAUCAAUAACAUUCUUAAUUCAUAAAUGAUAUUUAAAUCAACUUAUUCUAUAAUUUUUUUCUUUUACUUGUCAAAUAAUUAUCCAAUUAUCUGUUGCAUACAGCUUGUUGCGGGGCUUUUAGGCGUGGAGUCUGGCCAAGAUGCUGUAAUCAGAGGGCUUUUAUAUGAGAAGUCAAAUCUGAAAGUGAUGCCUUAUGGGAUAACAGUUGCAGAGUUUACCAAUCGCAUCUCUGAUCUAAGGAACAAGCUUGGCAAAACAGGGUUGAAAGAUGAAGGCCUUGUGGUCCCUAAACAACUAGGUGCUGAGGGCAAGAUCCAGGGAAAUUCUCUUGCUGGUGACAAAUACUCGGUUGCCUACGAUAGAACACCUGAAGAAAUUCUUAGAAUUGUCUAUGGAAGUGGCAAUGAAGCCACACCUGGUGGUUUCUAUCCAAAGGGAGCUGAUGGUGCCAUUGCUAAAUCUUAUCUACACACUGCAAACCAUUAAUAGUGUGAAACCUGGCUGUUUUAUGUUAUCACCAUCCAUUUAAACAAUUAUGUUUUGUGUAUAAUGUUGUUUACGAUCGUGACAACACUAAACUGAGCCAAUAAUUGUGACAUUUUAUUCCAUUUAUGCAUCUUGAAUUUUGAAUUAUAAACCCUUAUUUAAUCAUAUACAAUAAGCAUCAUUAGUUCUUUUCUUGUAUGAUGUUGACUAAAAAAUCAUUUUCUAAUUAGACUCUUAUCACAGAGAGAACGGUCCAUAGAUGUACAAGUUAUCAUAUAUCUAGACUAAAAUAACCAGUAAACUUAAAAUCUGAAUAAAUAUAUAAGAAUCGUAGGUUCGUAACUCAAAUCACUCGAUUUAGCAUCAACUAUUUUCUAAUUUUAUAUAUUAUCAGUAUAGAGAAGCAAUCAAGAUUGUCAAAUCAUUUUACUCAGGUUGGGAGAAAAACCUUUCAUGGAAUUAUCUGAUGCAAUUAACUCACAGUAACGACAUGCAGAAGAGGAACUUCUACUUAGACCUGUCAAUUUCAAAAGAUUAUAAAACCAAAAAUAAUAUAGUUAAAUUAUAUCUGGAUCAAAUUGAAAUUGCAAAUAAUUUUGGUAAACAAGGUGCUUCGAGCCUGCUAGACAUGGGAAUGAGAUUCCUGUUGGUUUGUUGAUUAAAUAAUUUAUAUUUCUCUAUAUUUCUUACGUGCAUCUGUAAGUUAUUUUGAACUUUUCGAGAAAUGAUCGCGUCAUUUGCAAGAAUGAUAAUUCUUCUAAGUUAAAACUUUUGAGUAUUUCAUUAUCACUUAAAGUCAAGCAUACAGCCCGUGCAUCUUACAGUUGUACAUUUUUUAAGCAAAAAUUUUCAAAUGAAUAAUCUCAUUUCUUUUAAGCAACUUCACUACACAAGAGUCCUAUCUAAAUACCCAUUUUGGGAAUUCUACAACUAAAAUUUAAAACAAGAAAAAGAAUUUACCAGCAUAUGUGGGGGGGUUUGGAUCAUUAUUAUUAUUCUUAUGAUAUUAUUGUUACAAUAAACUUUUGACCUCAAAAAAAAAUAAUAGUAUUAUUAUAAUAAAUUUUAAACUAAUUGUUCAUGAUCGUAAUUAAAGAGUAUUUAUAGUAACCAAAUAUUAUUAUUAGUAUUAUUAUUAUUACAGCUAUUAUCACGUUAUAUCACCAUGAUCGUUAUUAUUAUUAUUAUUACUAUUAUUGUAAACUAUUACUAAUAAAUGAGCCAAUCGUUUUACGUGAAAUACAUGCUAUUUUGUAUUAUUGUCAUUUUAAUCAAAUCAAAAUGACCAUCAUUUCUCUACUUACUAAAACAAUUCAUUUCAAGACAAAAAAAGAAUAUCAUAAUAAUUAAUUUUAACUCCAAAAAGAACCUUACGUAUCCAAAAUUUCUUAUUUCUUGUUGUUCUAAUUAUUUUUAUUAUUUACCCUGCAAGUAAUAUACUUGUCUCAUAUGCAUUACAGUUAAUUAUUCGAUUCCCAAAUCCCCAUGUUCCAUUUCUAAUAGAUCUUGUACAUAGACAUAUGUAUAUGUAAACCUAUAAAUACAUGUGACAAAACACUUCAUACAACACCAACCACUAAGCAAAAACAAUGGCAGUCACCUUCUUUGCUCCAUUGAUAUGUGUUCUUGUUCUGCAAUCCUUCUUCUUAAAGAUCAGCUCAAGCCUAUAUGGUUCCGAUGUGCCAAAAGACGAUAAGGAUUUGUUAGAGUUCCCAUUGAAUCUGGAGUACUUGGAGGCUGAGUUUUUCUUGUAUGGCUCAUUAGGGUAUGGGUUGGACAAGGUUGCUCCCCAGUUGACCUUGGGAGGCCCUGCUCCUAUUGGUGCCAAAAAGGCCAAUCUUGAUCCCAUUACAAGAGAUAUUAUAGAGCAAUUUGCAUGGCAGGAAGUUGGACACCUAAGGUAUCGAAUCCGCAUUUUCCAAUCUUGAAUUUUCUUUAACUAUUUGUGUUGAAUUUAUUUGGUUUUAGUCUUAUCUCAUCCCUUGACUUGUUUCAUUAUUUAAUAUGAAGGGCAAUUAAGACGACUGUCAAAGGAUUUCCAAGGCCACAAUUGGAUUUGAGUGCAAGGUCAUUUGCCAAUGUGAUUAAUAGUGCAUUUGGGAAGAACUUACAGCCUCCUUUUGACCCCUAUGCCAAUAGCAUCAACUACCUUAUUGCAUCCUAUGCAAUUCCUUAUGUUGGACUUACUGGAUAUGUGGGAGCAAGUCCCAGACUCCAAGGUGCUACUUCAAAAAGGGUAAGCCCCUAAUAUAUAACGAGGGAAAAAAUCAAUAACAUUCCUAAUUCAUAAGUGAUAUUUAAAUCAACUUAUUCUAUAAUUUUUUCUUUUGCUUGUCAAAUAAUUAUCUAAUUAUCUGUUGCGUACAGCUUGUUGCGGGGCUUUUAGGCGUGGAGUCUGGCCAAGAUGCUGUAAUCAGAGGGCUUUUAUAUGAGAAGUCAAAUCUGAAAGUGAAGCCUUAUGGGAUAACAGUUGCAGAGUUUACUAAUCGCAUCUCUGAUCUAAGGAACAAGCUUGGCAAAGCAGGGUUGAAAGAUGAAGGCCUUGUGGUCCCUAAACAACUGGGUGCUGAGGGCAAGAUCCAGGGAAAUUCUCUCGCUGGUGACAAAUACUCGGUUGCCUAUGAUAGGACACCUGAAGAAAUUCUUAGAAUUGUCUAUGGAAGUGGCAAUGAAGCCACACCUGGUGGUUUCUAUCCAAAGGGAGCUGAUGGUGCCAUUGCUAAAUCUUAUCUACACACUGCAAACCAUUAAUAGUGUGAAACUUGGCAGUUUUAUGUUAUCACUAUCCAUUUAAACAAUUAUGUUUUGUGUAUAAUGUUGUUGUCGAUCAUGACAACACUAAACUGAGCCAAUAAUUGUGACGUUUUAUCCCAUUUAUGUAUCUUGUAGUUUGAAUUAUAAACCUUUAUUUAAUCGUAUACAAUAAGUAUCAUUAGUUUUUUUCUUGUAUGAUGUUGACUAAAAAAUCA